UAAUUUUGCUGUGUAAAUUUAUUUUCCUAUAGGUUUGAGAGUGUUUGCUGUGGUGUGCAAGAGUUCUGCCACUGAUGAGGGCACAGCUGUGUAUUCUCUGAGCAGUUCUGUCAGCUGAGAUGAUGAGAAACCUAAGGCUUCUUGGAGAUUCACCUGGAUAGAAGCUGGGUGCAUUCUUCACACUCCAUCUUUCCAAGUCCAGCUCCCAGUGCCAGGACUCAGGAUGUGGCACCUGAAGGCAAAGUCAGUCUCAUUUCACUCUCACCACACAUGCCUUAUAAACUGCAUCUCCCUCCAGACUCAGGAACCCAGAUAUUUUAGACCAAGACAUUUACAUCGGCAUGGAAAGUUGGAAAGAUCACCUUUUCAGAAUCCAGUUGUUAAUUAAACAACCUUCCAGAAAUGACUAGAGGUCUCUCAGCCUCAGUUUCUCCCUCUGUAAACAUCAGGAAUGAUGAUCUUGAUCCCACAUAGAAUUAUGAUAAUGUGUAGG
rnacentral:lncRNA from 1 species